rnacentral:lncRNA from 12 species
GGAGCGCCUGCCCACACGACGGGACCCCGCGGCCGCAGCUACCCCGGCGGCGGGACCCGGACCCUGGGCGCCAGCGCGCGGCCGCCGUCCGCAGAGACGAGGACCAGAGCGCUUCUCCCGGCCUUGCGGGAAGCCUCGCUUCCAGCCCCAAGGGCCCUGGCGUCCAGCGGCCGCGGGCGCACACGGAGCCAUUGGGAAAGGACGGGACCCGGGCGGCGCGGCCAAGCAGGGCCCCGCGGUCCGCCCCUGACCCGCCUGGUCCGGCUGCUCCGUGGGUCUCCCCGGGACUCGGCCAACACCCGGCCCGGACGCCCUGCGGCGCGGCUCUCCGCGGCCCCCGGGGCGGUGUGUGCCCACGCGUGCCCUCCGGGGCCCGGGCCGCGCUCACAGCCUCGGUGCCCACCUCGCCGGACCCAGCGGGGGAGGGAAGGUCAGUGCGCGGAGUCUGAUCUGGACGACCGGGGCUGCCGGGGGCGCGGGGACCCCUGGCCGGGGCGGCCCUACUCGAGCUGCGGCCAUCCCGAGCCACGGCACCUGCCAGCGUCACCCACGCCGCGCACCCGCCUUGAAAGAGCCACCGGCUCCGCCGCGGCUCCUCCGGUCUUUCCGGCAAAGGUGUCCCGCCCCGCGGCGGGGAGGCGCGCACCGGCCACUCCAGGGCACAGGCGCUGCGGCACCGGCCGAGGGCGAGACCGGCUUCCCUCACAGGCCGCUGUCCCCGGAAGUCACCUGCGCCCACCUCCUCACCGACGGGCCUCUGCACCGUGGCCCGAGGCCCUGCGGAAGAACGCGGGAGCCGGGAAGGUUCCCGACGCUGCUUUGGCCCCGCGCAACGCCCCCCCCGCCCCCCCCCGGCACCAUCUUCACUGCGCACACUUGGCCGAGAGGAGGAUGAGGGGCACCAGCACCGCGCACGUCCGGAUGCCAGAGCUGCCCUCUCACCGGGAGCCCCCGGCCGCCCGCAAGGCCAGCCCCGCCCGGGAACCCGGGGGCAUGAGGCCGCAGGGCCCCGGACCUGCUCAAGCGGGAGAAAUCACGCAGGCCCGCCCUUCCCCCUCUUAG